GGCUGUACCUCAGUGGUAGAGUGCCUGCCUCAUAUGUAUUAGGAACUGGGUUCAAUCCUCAGCACCA
rnacentral:tRNA from 1 species